UACGUAGGGAGCAAGCGUUGUCCGGAAUCAUUGGGCGUAAAGCGCGCGUAGGUGGCUUCGUAAGUCCGUUGUGAAAGUCAAAGGCUCAACCUUUGAAAGCCGAUGGAUACUGUGGAGCUAGAGUACGGAAGAGGCGAGUGGAAUUCCGUGGUGUAGCGGUGGAAUGCGCAGAUAUCAGGAGGAACACCAAUAGCGAAGGCAGCUCGCUGGGACGUUACUGACACUGAGAGACGAAAGCUAGGGGAGCGAAUGGG
rnacentral:rRNA from 1 species